rnacentral:pre_miRNA from 1 species
AGCUUUCUGUAUUCGUGCUGAGAUUUCGCCACACAUCAGACCGCAAAGGCUGAUAAGACUCCCUAUAUAAAUGAAGCG